rnacentral:tRNA from 1 species
GCCGACGUAGCUCAGUUGGUAGAGCAGCUCACUCGUAAUGAGCAGGUCAGGGGUUCGAGUCCCCUCGUCGGCU